AGGAGCUCUCCCAGCAAAGAGGCUGCAGCGUUUCCAGCCCAGCCAUGCUCCUGCUGCUCGCCUCAGUGCUGGGGCUUCACUUGGCCCUGAGAGACGCUGGAGCCCAGACUGUGACCCAGCCCGACACCCAUGUCUCUGUGUCUGAAGGAGACUCUGUGGAGCUGAGGUGCAACUACUCCUAUGGGGCAACCCCCUACCUCUUCUGGUAUGUCCAGCACCGUGGCCAAGGUCCUCAGUUUCUCCUUAAGUACGUUUCAGGGAACACCCUGGUUCAGGGCCUCCACGGUUUUGAGGCUGAAUUUAAGAAGAGCGAAUCUUCCUUCCACCUGAGGAAGCCCUCUGUGCAGCUGAGUGACGCGGCCCGGUACUGGUGUGCUCUGAGUGCCACAGCGCCUGGGGCUGCAGGGGGAGCAGUGCAUAAACCACCCCUGAGUGCAGAGCUCAGAAACUCAGCAGCUGUUGGUGUGGGUUGAGGGAAAGAUUUCAGUUGACGUGCUGGCAGAUGAGCUAGAGAGGGCUGGGCUGUACUUUUGUGCAGUUCCACUUCUGCUGUGCCCUGGGUCUCAAACACUUGGCACUCGUUUGCAGAAUCAGAACACCGAGGAGUAAGUCAGUGUUGUAGAACGAUGGAGGAGUCAGUGUUCUU